UACGUAGGGGGCGAGCGUUGUCCGGAUUUACUGGGCGUAAAGCGCACGUAGGCGGAUUGUUAAGUCAGGGGUGAAAUCCCGGAGCUCAACUCCGGAACUGCCUUUGAUACUGGCAUCUAGAGCCCGGAAGAGGUGAGUGGAACUCCUAGUGUAGAGGUGGAAUUCGUAGAUAUUAGGAAGAACACCAGUGGCGAAGGCGGCUCACUGGUCCGGUACUGACGCUGAGGUGCGAAAGCGUGGGGAGCAAACAGG
rnacentral:rRNA from 1 species